AGCGAACGCUGGCGGCAGGCUUAACACAUGCAAGUCGAGCGGGCACUUCGGUGUCAGCGGCAGACGGGUGAGUAACACGUGGGAACGUACCCUUUGGUUCGGAAUAACGCUGGGAAACUAGCGCUAAUACCGGAUACGCCCUUUUGGGGAAAGGCUUGCUGCCGAAGGAUCGGCCCGCGUCUGAUUAGCUAGUUGGUGGGGUAAUGGCCUACCAAGGCGACGAUCAGUAGCUGGUCUGAGAGGAUGAUCAGCCACACUGGGACUGAGACACGGCCCAGACUCCUACGGGAGGCAGCAGUGGGGAAUAUUGGACAAUGGGCGCAAGCCUGAUCCAGCCAUGCCGCGUGAGUGAUGAAGGCCUUAGGGUUGUAAAGCUCUUUUGUCCGGGACGAUAAUGACGGUACCGGGAGAAUAAGCCCCGGCUAACUUCGUG
rnacentral:rRNA from 1 species